UUUGGGAAGAUGUUUGGGUGAGUGAUCUGAAAUUUGCCUAGAGAAAUAGAAUUGCGUUUCUUGUUGUCCUUCUGCCCAAAAACGACACAGCUUCGAUCCAUGAAGCUUCUCCCUAUACAAACCUCAAUCGUUCCCAGUCCCUCUCCUUCGUUCUUUUAAGUCGGCAACCCAUCAUCAGAACACAUUCUCAGUCCAACACAGCCCCUUUCAUUGUAUCCUCUCCACCGACUCUCACAAUAGAUCCACCUUCCCCUUCACAGCUAAAUCCCCAUUUCCCGUCUCCUUCGACAGCUCCCUCUCCAUAAUUACAAACCCAUGUUCCUCUGCUGUGUAUAUUUCCACCAUUUAUAUCUCCCGCUCGCACCAACCAAGAACACCCGCCGGCAGCCUCUUCUUCAUCUCCCUGAACCACUGUCACAGCCCGACCAACCCACAUUCAACCCCGCAACCAUUUCCUCCUCAACUGUGGUGAUUCCAUCGAAACCCAUUAGAUGGCUUUCAUUGAGUCGUUCCAGCGCCGCUCGUGAUAGGGCUGUUCAAAAUUUGGUACAAAACUACCAAUCCGACUUAUCCAAUAUCCGAUAAUUUGGUUGCAAUGUGGAAUGUGGAUAGGGUUGGAUUGAACUGUUUUAUUCAAAGUCUUCCAUUUUCUUGGUUGGUUGGAAAUUAUCCGGUUAAUACCGAUUUAGAGAGCUUCUAAGCCUAACAUCUUUGUCAUAAUCUGAAAUUUCCACCAUAAGAUCUUAGGAUAUCAUUUCUUUGCAUUUCCAGGGGACAGAUGUUUUUGGCUAAGAGAUGAAGAGUUUGCUCGCCAAACUCUUGCAGGUCUCAGCCCAUACAGCAUAAAAUUAGUCACAGAAUGGCCACUGAAGAGUAAACUGGACCCUGUGAUAUAUGGACCUCUAGAAAUAAUUGAGGCAGAAAUUGGAGGUAUCAUUAAAGUUGAAGAGGCCAUAAAACAAAAGAAGCUGUUCAUCAUAGAUUAUCAUGAUCUUUUGUUAAGCCAAGAAAACUUAAAGGCACAACAUUAUACGGUUCAAGGACAAUAUUUUUCCGAACUCCCAAUGCCACAUUAAGGCCACUAGCCAACGAGAUUCAAGCCUAGUAGUGUCUGAUCAAGAGCUCCAAGCAUGGUGGACAGAAAUUCGAACUGUAGGACACUAUGACGAUGUAGGCGUGAGGAAUUUAAGGCAGGAAUUAUGCUAUCAAAUGUUGUCAAAUUUGACAACUUUUGUGAAUAUUUUGUUUACUUAUUUAAAAUUAAUUGUUUUCUGUUUAGAUUAUGAUUUAAGAUCUUAUUAUAUCUUAAUUAGUAUAUAUUGGC